rnacentral:rRNA from 1 species
GACGAACGCUGGCGGCGUGCUUAACACAUGCAAGUCGAACGGAAAGGCCCUGCUUUUGUGGGGUUCUCGAGUGGCGAACGGGUGAGUAACACGUGAGUAACCUGCCCUUGUCUUUGGGAUAUCUUCAGGAAACUGGGGCUAAUACCGGAUAGGAGCUCCUGCUGCAUGGUGGGGGUUGGAUAGUUUCGGCGGUUGGGGAUGGACUCGCGGCUUAUCAGCUUGUUGGUUGGGUAGUGGCUUACCAAGGCUUUGACGGGUAGCCGGCAUGAGAGGGUGACCGGCCACAUUGGGACUGAGAUACGGACCAGACUCCAACGGGAGGCAGCAGUGGGGAAUAUUGCACAAUGGGCGGAAGCGUGAUGAAGAAAAGCCGCGUGCGGGAUGACGGCCUUCGGGUUGUAAAAAGAUUUCGACUGUGACGAAGAGUGAGUGACGGUAAUGGGUAAAGAAGCACCGGCUAACUACGUG